CGUUCGGUGGAAACGAGAAUAAAACGUGAAGGAUAACGUUGCGUCAGCAACGGCCCGUAGGGCGAGGCGAAGCCGAGUCAUCCUGCACGACCCACCA
rnacentral:sRNA from 1 species